GUCUGUGUUCAGUAUAAAAGAUACAUUCAAGUUUUAACACCAUGCUACAAUGACCCAGAGUUCAGAACAAAAUUCGUGAAAUGUGUCCAAGGUUCUUUUACAGGCUAUAGUCCAAAUACGUGUGGGUUUGUGGACAGCCUAAAAAACUGUGCUUCCAUGUUCCAGCAGUGUAAAGACGCACAAUAUGCAUUUGCUGUUCAAAAUAUGCUCGACAGAUAUGGUACAACACUAUGCAAUCUUCACAAAUUCAAUAUUGGAGCAAUUUAAUUUCAGCUCAAUCUUAUAUGAAUUUUGAUCUACCAUGAAUAAAAAUAUCUUGUAACACCGAGAA